ACUCAGAGAUUAUUACUCUAUCCGUUUUAAAAUAUAAAUCUUUUUCGAUGUUUCGUUAGAGGACUGCAUACGGAAGCAUAUAGAUAUAUUUUAGAAUGUACUCUCUUUACCUAAAUAAUUGUUGUUGGGACUACUUUAGCUCUUCCAACAAUAAUUAUUUACUAGAUAGGAAGGCAGUAGAUUCAUUUAUUUUGCUUCCUAUGUACUCUCUUCGUUUUAAAAUAAGCGA
rnacentral:lncRNA from 1 species